GCUGUUGCCUGGCAGGGGAGACCCCUUGAUCAUGAAGGACGUUUUCCCCAGGGUGAGGCUCGUCGGUUGCACUGCGGGUGUGCUGACCCCUGCGUUUCCCCAAAUGUGGGAAACUCGACUGCAUAAUUGGUGGUAACAAGCAUGAAUGGUCCCCUUUGCUAA